rnacentral:ribozyme from 1 species
AAAAAAAAAAAAAAAAAAAAAAAAAAAAAAAGUCUCGCAUUUCUUUGACUUUGUUCUUUUCGCGCAUCGGCAUGUGUUUUGUUUUCAU